UACAGAGGGGGCAAGCGUUGUUCGGAAUUACUGGGCGUAAAGGGCGCGUAGGCGGCCUUCUAAGUCGAACGUGAAAUCCCUCGGCUUAACCGGGGAACUGCGUCCGAUACUGGAUGGCUUGAGUUUGGGAGAGGGACGCGGAAUUCCAGGUGUAGCGGUGAAAUGCGUAGAUAUCUGGAGGAACACCGGUGGCGAAGGCGGCGUCCUGGACCAACACUGACACUGAUGAGCGAAAGCCAGGGGAGCAAACGGG
rnacentral:rRNA from 1 species